AUAAAAUUUCUAGGAAAAAAAAAAGUGUUUUUAUCAGUUUAAUAUCUGAUAUGUCCCCUAUCCGGGGACCAUAUAUUAAAUUGCUUUUUGGAUCAGGGAGCUGGAAUACGGGCUUGCUCCAUCCGCUCCACGCAUCGACCUGGUAUUGCAGUACCUCCAGGAACGGUGCAACACUU
ensembl:snRNA U2 U2 spliceosomal RNA